UACGAAGGGGGCUAGCGUUGCUCGGAAUUACUGGGCGUAAAGGGCGCGUAGGCGGAUGUUUAAGUCAGGGGUGAAAUCCUGGAGCUCAACUCCAGAACUGCCUUUGAUACUGAGGAUCUUGAGUACGGGAGAGGUGAGUGGAACUGCGAGUGUAGAGGUGAAAUUCGUAGAUAUUCGCAAGAACACCAGUGGCGAAGGCGGCUCACUGGCCCGUUACUGACGCUGAGGCACGAAAGCGUGGGGAGCAAACAGG
rnacentral:rRNA from 1 species